GGGCGGUUAGCUCAGUUGGUCAGAGCGCCUGCUCGACACGCAGGAGGUCGCUGGUUCGAGCCCAGUAUCGCCCACCA
rnacentral:tRNA from 1 species